rnacentral:rRNA from 1 species
AUUGAACGCUGGCGGCAGGCCUAACACAUGCAAGUCGGACGGUAGCACAGAGGAGCUUGCUCCUCGGGUGACGAGUGGCGGACGGGUGAGUAAUGUCUGGGGAUCUGCCCGAUAGAGGGGGAUAACCACUGGAAACGGUGGCUAUACCGCAUAACGUCGCAAGACCAAAGAGGGGGACCUUCGGGCCUCUCACUAUCGGAUGAACCCAGAUGGGAUUAGCUAGUAGGCGGGGUAACGGCCCACCUAGGCGACGAUCCCUAGCUGGUCUGAGAGGAUGACCAGCCACACUGGAACUGAGACACGGUCCAGACUCCUACGGGAGGCAGCAGUGGGGAAUAUUGCACAAUGGGCGCAAGCCUGAUGCAGCCAUGCCGCGUGUAUGAAGAUGGCCUUCGGGUUGUAAAGUACUUUCAGCGGGGAGGAAGGCGAUGUGGUUAAUAACCGCGUCGAUUGACGUUACCCGCAGAAGAAGCACCGGCUAACUCCGUGCCAGCCGCCGCAGUAA